rnacentral:rRNA from 1 species
AUGAACGCUAGCGACAGGCCUAACACAUGCAAGUCGAGGGGCAGCACAAGGAGCAAUCUGAGAUGGCGACCGGCGCACGGGUGAGUAACACGUAUGCAACCUGCCUGUAAGCGGGGAAUAACCCGUUGAAAGACGGACUAAUACCGCAUAAUACUAAAUUACUGCAUGGUAAUUUAUUUAAACAUUUAUGGCUUACAGAUGGGCAUGCGCAUGAUUAGCUAGUUGGAGAGGUAACGGCUCCCCAAGGCAACGAUCAUUAGGGGUUCUGAGAGGAAGGUCCCCCACACUGGUACUGAGACACGGACCAGACUCCUACGGGAGGCAGCAGUGAGGAAUAUUGGUCAAUGGACGAGAGUCUGAACCAGCCAAGUCGCGUGCAGGAAGAAUGUUCCCUAUGGAUUGUAAACUGCUUUUGCAGGGGAAUAAAGUGCAUCACGUGUGAUGUUUUGUAUGUACUCUGCGAAUAAGGAUCGGCUAACUCCGUGCCAGCCGCCGC